AUAGUACUCCCUCCGUCCGAAAAUACUUGUCAGAGAAAUGGAUAAAAAUAAAUGUAUCUAGAACCAAAAUACAUCUAGAUACAUCCAUUCCUCCGACAAGUAUUUCCGGACAGAGGGAGUAUAAG
rnacentral:pre_miRNA from 1 species